GGGCGGUGGCGGUGGCUGGGCAGGGCUGGGCAGGGCCGCGGACGCCAGGCCCCCCGUUCCCCGCCAGGCUGCAGGCGUCGGGCCUGGGCCGUCAGGGCAGCUGUGACCGGAUCGCUUCCCGGGCGGCGAGCUGGGGGUGCACCCGGACCGCCGCCCCCGGGAUCAUGGGCAAUGGCAUGACCAAGGUACUUCCUGGACUCUACCUCGGAAACUUCAUUGAUGCCAAAGACCUGGAUCAGCUGGGCCGAAAUAAGAUCACACACAUCAUCUCUAUCCAUGAGUCACCCCAGCCUCUGCUGCAGGAUAUCACCUACCUUCGCAUCCCGGUCGCUGAUACCCCUGAGGUACCCAUGUGCUCUGAUUGCAGACCCCAGAGGAGUGGGACCCCUGUGUUUCCUCCCACCCAUUUCUCUGAAAGGCCACAAUAAACCCAACAUGAAAACAGGGUCCACAGGAGGAGUGCUCCUGCCUAGAUGCAAAAAGCACUUCAAAGAAUGUAUCAACUUCAUCCACUGCUGCCGCCUUAAUGGGGGGAACUGCCUUGUGCACUGGUGAGUUAAGCGGAGGGGGAUAAGGUGGGGGAGGAAGGAAGUGGCUGUGCCCUCUGCUGAACACACACUCCCCCUGUGGGAAGGUUGGACCUGUGAGGGAUCUUCUCCAGCCUGUCACAGUGCCUGAGGGCCCACCAUUCACUGGAGAGAGGCCAACCCGGGACUCUAUUCCUUAUGAGCUGUGUGGCCAUAGCCAAGUAGCUGUUUCUCUCUGAGACUCAAUGUCCUCAUCUGUAAAAUGCGGAAAAGAAAGCUGACCUGAUGGGACUGUUGGGAGGGA
rnacentral:sRNA from 1 species